rnacentral:lncRNA from 1 species
AAAAUGGCAGAACGAAAGACUUAUGAGCAGGACUGGAAAGUAGAAGAGAUGUCAACCAACACUCAAAACUAGAAAGAAGAAUGUAUAAAGAAAAAGACUAAUGCUCCUGAGAAAAUAGACUCACAGACUGACAUCUCCGCGGUGUGGCAUUUUCUU